rnacentral:rRNA from 1 species
AGUGAACGCUGGCGGCGUGCCUAAUACAUGCAAGUCGAACGAAGUGGCGCACGGGUGAGUAAUAUAUAGUUAAUCUGCCCUACACAGGGGAACAACAGUUGGAAACGACUGCUAAUACCUCAUAGUGUAGGAUGAGACUAUAUCGUAUCAGCUAGUUGGUAAGGUAAUGGCUUACCAAGGCUAUGACGCGUAACUGGUCUGAGAGGAUGAUCAGUCACAGUGGAGAUGAGAAACGAUCCAGACUCCUACGGGAGGCAGCGGUAAGGAAUAUGGCGCAAUGGGAGAAAGCCUGACACAGCAACCCCGCGUGGAGUAUGACACUUUACGGAGCGUAAACUCAUUUUAUCAGGAAAGCGGUGACUGAUGGAUAAGCACCGGAUAACUCCGUGCAAACAGCCGCGGUAAUUC